rfam:Rhodnius prolixus Rhodnius_prolixus-3.0.3-699.3, whole genome shotgun sequence.
GGCCGCUUGGUCUAGGGGUAUGAUUCCUGCUUUGGGUGCAGGAGGUCCCGGGUUCAAAUCCCGGAGCGGCCC